rnacentral:rRNA from 1 species
AUGGGAUUAGCUAGUAGGUGGGGUAACGGCCCACCUAGGCGACGAUCCCUAGCUGGUCUGAGAGGAUGACCAGCCACACUGGAACUGAGACACGGUCCAGACUCCUACGGGAGGCAGCAGUGGGGAAUAUUGCACAAUGGGCGCAAGCCUGAUGCAGCCAUGCCGCGUGUAUGAAGAAGGCCUUCGGGUUGUAAAGUACUUUCAGCGGGGAAGAAGGUGUUGUGGUAAUAUCCGCAGCAAAAACGUACCCGCAGA